GACCUGGCUGUGUGGUCUUGCCAAAUGGUAAGCACUGCUCUGGUUGGGUCUUUCCUUCUGGGGAAUCAGUGUGCUCUUAAUUGAGUGCGCUGGGGAUCCAGGACUUUUACUGUGAAAAAAUUAGAGUGUUUAAAGCAGGCCUUCGCUUGAAUACAUUAGCAUGGAAUAAUAGAAUAGGACUUUGGUUCUAUUUUGUUGGUUUCUAGGACCGAAGUA
rnacentral:rRNA from 1 species